AACUCCCAUUAGCCUCAGCCAGCAUUGCCAAUGGUCAGGAAGAUGGGAGUUUUGGUCCAACAACAUCUGGAGGCACACUGGUUGGGAAAGGCUGGAUCAGAUAUUCCUCCAUUUUCGGGAGAUGACAUGGUUUUCGUUGGGUGCUGAGGGACAACACGAGAGUCAGAACAGCCUUCCCUUGUAAGGCUAACAUGAGUAAAGGGUUUGGUGGCAUAUGAAAGCUUACCCUUCCACUGAUUCCAAAAUGACUUACAGUUGCCCUAUGGAAGAGCCGUGUUUUUGUAAUGUCAGCAACGAUGGGGUCAGGUUGGUCUCAUAUGGGAGAAGAUUCUGUAACUGUGGUGCUACAAUGAUGACAACAACAUGGCUCAGGCACAGACAGAGAGAGAAGUGCCAAUGUUCCUUUAAAAUGUUCAGAUAGAGGAAUGUGUGCACAGGGUGUCUUAACAGGAAGAUAUUGGUAAACCUCUCCUCAGCAAUGGAGGGACAAUGUCUAACCCCGAAGAGCUAGGGGACUUCCAGACUGUCUUCAGAUAUGAAAUUUGGCACAUGCAAAGUCCAUGAUAUACUAACUACUAGAGAAGUCUAAGAAGUGGGUAUUUUAAACACUUGGCUAUCAAAACGUGAGGCAUUAAGUUUACCAGUUCCAGCUAUUCAGCCCCACUCCCUUGCCUUUGAGGACCUGUAGCCUGGCAACUGCCAUGGGCAGAGUGAGAUCCAGCUGCUCAGCCCCAUCCUUUCAUCUUUGAGGAUCUUGGUGGCUGCUGCCUGGGUAUGACGCCAUGUCAGAACAAGGAGGAGGGCAGGAAAUGCUGCCUGAACAGUCCUGACUUCAUAUGGGCAUCAUGUAAUUUCUGUUCCUCUGAUUUGUGGGUGAAUUUGUUUUGAGAUUUUAUUGUUUGAUGUUCUCAGGGCUGUAAUUGAGAGGUACCUAUUCUAAAUAAAUACAUAAAUACCUUGUAAUGGAGACUAGCAUUAUACAGAGCAAUCCAAACUAUAUAUGGAACAGAAAGUUGGGUUGUGAGAGUUAUAUUGCCUUUUCAACACCACUGAAUCGCAGGCUUGAAAUCUGGAAGAAAGGCAGCCAAGAAAACAAUCUAUGCCUGCCAAAUACAAACUUAAUUUACUUGUGUGCAUAUGUGUGCAUCUCUAUAUAUCCACAGAAAUGUGGUUCUGACUAGUUCAUCAGUGAUAAUUUAUAAAUUGAUGAUGAGAAUGGAAUUAUCCUGGCGGUAGGCUAAAAUUGAUCAAUUACAGAAUCUGGAUUUGUCUGGGUCUGAAACACCUCAUAACCCAGCCAUCCCAAAUAGGGACACAAACUUAACCACAGAUUUAGAACAUAACUGGAAUGUGUUAAACACUUCAGAAAAAUUAAAAACAUAAUGGUCUGCAUGAUGGCUACAUGAGCCUAUAAUUUCUACAAAAAAUGUACCGUUCUGUAACUAAUAUGCUUUGUUAAAGCUUUGCAUUGGGUGUUUGUAUGAGCAUAAUUUGGAAGAAUAUAUUGUUGCAUUAGUAGCAGAGAGAUGAAAAGUAAUAUAAUUAUGAGAUAAAUUAAGAAGUAUGUAGUUGAUGAAGCUGGCAAUACAAAAGGGCGAAGCAAAACAGCUAGCUGGGCUAUCAACAUAACUAGCUAGAUAAUGGGGCUUCCACUUGGUCCUAAAUGCCAAGCUAAAACAUGCUAAAUAGCAUAAUUUCAGCUUUACUCUCUCCUGCAUGUUACCUGAAUGUUAAAAUCUUAACUAAAACAGUUCCGAGUUUCUUUAGGCGCUUAAGAAUUAAAUAUAGCACCGAAGCUGAGCUGCCAUCUUAACCAAGUCUACUCAGACAUAAGUCCUAUUGAAAUCAACAGGGCUUACUCACAGGUAAGUGGGGCUUGUGUUUCAUCCUUGGUCUACAACGGGUCUACUCUAAGCUUGACUAAGUCUGGAUCCAAUCCAUUUUAUUUGAGCAUCACCUACUGUGUUAUAGAUGGGAUGCAAGGUGCACACUUAACUGGGAGUAAGUUCCAUUGUGUAUAGUGGGACUUGCUUGAGUAAAAACAUAUAGAGAAUUGCAUUGUCAAUUCACUGCUUUAUAUAGGUAAAUAGCCAUUGAAAUUAGGUACUGCCCCCACCCCAUGAAUUGUUCCUGAAAUAGUUCAGGUGUGCUGAACUGGUCUCCAAAUCUCCAUUACCUGAACCAGAGCCAAAGCUGAACAACUUCCAGCAUACCUGAAACUCAAUUUCAACAAUAUGCUAGUCAACAGUCCUAACAGCUCCUUCUGCAGAGCACACACACCCUUGACAACAUCCCUGAUAAUAUGGCAUAACCCAGGGGAUGGCAACCAUAGUGCUUCUGAUCACGGCAUCGUAUCAAAUUGGGUAAUGAUGGUGUCAUAGCAAGGCAACAUCCCCACUCCCACCAACCUAUGGCAGUACCUACCCUCUCCAGAAUAUAGCCACUGAGGGGCAUGGAGAUAAGAAACCAAAAUAAAAGUGUGGUUAGUAUGCAUAGCUCUUCCCCAGCUUGCAAACCACAUAGCAGUUUUAUUUUUAUUUUUACAGCAGCGAUCGGUGUAGCAUGAAACAAGUGCUCCAGGCCGUCUCUGCACUUUGUGAGGCCUCAUGCCUAGCAGUGAUGGUCACACCCAACAACUCACUGCUUGAUGAGAUUUCAAACCUCUUACCCGCUAAGGCAGAUCCUCUGGUGGUCGAGGCACUGCUAUCACUAAAGCAGUGACAAAGGAAAAAAGGUGGGGUGAGGGAAGAAGGUGCCAACACCAAGGUGAUAGCAAAAAAACCCUCACCGUGACCACAACAAAAAUUAAGGCAGGAGGAAAGACCACCACCAUUACAGUGAAGGAGAGGAGGGGAACAGAGGCAGGGGGCAGAGGAAGGCAGUGGGGUGCCCCCCCACAGUGUGAUUUUCCCCCCCAGCUCCCCCCCACCUCAAGUCAGCCCUGGAGGAGCUGUUUGGUGAUGCUGAGGAGGGAAGCGAAGGAAAGAGGAAAGGAGAGUUAUGUGUGCAUACCGGUAUGUAUGUGGAGCUGUUUUUGAGACAUGUCAAAGAUUUUUAUUUUCUGUAUUUUAUUUGUCAAAGAUUUUAUUUUAAAAGAGGUGCCAUAAAAACACUUGUUCUGAUUCUCAUUUUGGAAUGUAAGUUUUGUACCUUAACAUUUUUGACAGUUUUUUUUUAAAGAUGAGGAAAGAGUCUUGACUUCAAAGAGAUUUUCUUUAUAAAAUUGCAGGAGAUGACAAUACUGAGGGGGGAGGGGGGGAAAUCACCUAAAAUAUAAAAUGUCUGUCACCCUGUGGGAAUGCGAAUGAGGGAGACUUCAGAAAAUGAUGCAUGCUAUUUGAAAUGUCUCAUUGACUAACACAGCAGGAGAACCUUAGUCAGAAAGGAAAUGCUCUUAUUUUUUUAAAAAAGGAUGUCUAGUUAAGGCAGUUGAAGCAGGCUUGAGUUUAGAAAUCUUUGAAUACCAAAUGUCCCUAAAAAGUUUUUCAUGAAAAAAUACUGUCACUGUGUAGGAAACUUGACUUUCUCUUAUUCUAUAGACACAGAUUUCUGGCAUGUGUGCCGGUAAUACUUUAAGGAUGACAUUUGGAAUAAAAGUUUCUAUAGGGAAAAAAAAUCCUAUAAAUUCAUUGCAGAAGAGGAAAAAAUCAUUGCAUUUGUGACCUGAUUUUGUAAAUUUGUUUUAUAACUCUGAAAUGUUUGCUGUCACUUCAUUCUGCUGUCCAAUCCUUUAUGGACUGUCUGAUGUCUGUAAAGACUGGACCAUUGGGGAAACCUAGAAUGUAGAUUACCGGGACAUCCUGGGUAGCAUAACCAGAAAAUUCAAAGAAAGCAAGCUUCCAUUGACGUUCACCCUCUGGCCCUCAAGUAGAAGAGGCAGGCAGUAUCAUAAACUGUCAUUCCAGACUGCAGAAGUUCAAGACUGCAUUUGAUGAGACACGGUAAGUUUCAUGAUGCUGUGAAACUGUAUAUACAUUUCAUACCAUCAUCAAUCCAACUUAACCAACUGGCUCUAUCCUUGGGUAACCUCUUCCAUAUGUGGUCUAUAGAGGCAGGGUAGGCUACCUUUAGCCUUGAGUGAUUUACUUAUU